CCAAUAGCGUAUAUUAAAGUUGUUGCAGUUAAAAAGCUCGUAGUUGAAUUUCGGGAUUGACACAUCGGUCGGUCCUUAGGGGGUAUGAACUGGUGUAGUCAAUUUCUCACCUUCUGGAGAACCGCGAUGCCCUUAAUUGGGUGUCGCGGGGGACCAGGACCUUUACUUUGAAAAAAUUAGCGUGUUUAAAGCAGGCAUUUUGCUUGAAUACAUUAGCAUGGUAUAAUAAAAUAGGAAGGCAUGAUUCUAUUUUGUUGGUUUCUAGGAUCACCGUAAUGAUUAAUAGGGAUAGUUGGGGGCAUUAGGAUUCAAUUGUCAGAGGUGAAAUUCUUGGAUUUAUUGAAGACUAACUACUGCGAAAGCAUUUGCCAAGGAUGUUUUCAUUAAUCAAGAACGAAGGUUAGGGGAGCGAAGACGAUCAGAUACCGUCGUAGUCUUAACCAUAAACUAUGCCGACUAGGAAUCAGACGAUGUUAAUUUUUUAAUGACUCGUUUGGCACCUUACG
rnacentral:rRNA from 1 species